GCGGAGGAAAAGAAACCAACAGGGAUUGCCUCAGUAACGGCGAGUGAAGCGGCAAAAGCUCAAAUUUUAAAGCUGGCACCUCCGGUGUCCGCGUUGUAAUUUUGUGAGGCAUCUCCGGGUAGGGCGCCGGCCUAAGUUCCUUGGAACAGGACGUCAUAGAGGGUGAGAAUCCCGUGCUUGGCUGGCUGUCCCCGUCCAUGUGAGGUGUCUUCGACGAGUCGAGUUGUUUGGGAAUGCAGCUCAAAAUGGGUGGUAAAUUUCAUCUAAAGCUAAAUAUUGGUGGGAGACCGAUAGCGCACAAGUAGAGUGAUCGAAAGAUGAAAAGCACUUUGAAAAUAGAGUUAAAAAGUACGUGAAAUUGUUGAAAGGGAAGCGCUUGAGACCAGACUUCGGUGGGGAGUGAUCAGCUGUCCUUCUGGGCGGUGCACUUGCUCCCCUCCGGGCCAGCAUCGGUUGGGACGGCGGGAUAAAGGUCCUGGGAAUGUGGCUCCUUUCGGGGAGUGUUAUAGCCCGGGAUGAAAUGCCGCCAGCUCCGACCGAGGACCGCGCCUUCGGGCUAGGAUGCUUGGCAUAAUGGUCUUCAGCGACCCGUCU
rnacentral:rRNA from 1 species